GAAACCGUGGAGCCGCUGAUUGGCUUCUCCAGAAACGCGACACCCAAUGGGAAUGCGAACUGGGGGCGCGUCAGGAGUCUCCAGGCAGGAGGACCUGCCACAGGUUGUGAAAGGGAGAAGUGAAACCCAAGAGAUGGGGACUCCCCAACAUUGAGCUGCCCCGCCCCAGACACUGCCCUGGGUCUGAGACCCUGAGAGGCAGGUCCAGGGACCUGGAACUUUGCCCGGACCCGUCCCCUACUACACAGCGCGCUCCUUGUCACAGUGUCUCCCUGAGUUGUGGCCCAGGAGCUGGAUCCCAACAGAAAAGUUUGUCAGCAGUGAGAAGCUGUCAAGUUUAUUGGGGGAUCACAAGUUCUCCAAAACUCUGAUUUUCUCUUGAGAGCUGACAUUUGAUCAAGGCAACAAGUCCUCUCAGCUGUCAUAUGUGAGCUGAUUGUCAUGAAAGGGCAUUUCAUUUGCACGUAGGUAAAACAUCCCUAGAAAAAGAAUCUCAGGAUUUUCCUUCGUGUUGUUUUCAUCUUGCUUCUUCAUGGUCCCUGAUGCCAGCUGCGGUUGUCAGGACAAUGAAACCAAACCGGAAGGACGGGAGCAGAAUUUCCUGCCAAUUUUUGUAGAGCUUUGAGUUGUACGUCAGACCUGGGGCUGCUCACUCCACGCGUGUUUAACCUGCCCCUGGGGUUCCCGACAAUGUUCCCAGCUCUGUGAUCAGCAGUGACUUCAUACCCGCCAAUGUAACCGAGCUUCCUCAUCACAGUUGGAAAUGGGACGAUGACUUUGGAGCAUGGCCUAAUAAGACCUGCCUUUUGCCUCUCUCUCAGGCAUUGUCAGGCAUCCAGGGACCACAUUUUGAGAACGGCUGCUCUGACUAACCCCAGGAGAGUCUCCCAGCUGGUCCUGCCCUGGCCUCCUCUUCACUCAGCAGAAUCCCUUUCCCUGAGAUGCACUUGCUGCCUCUGAAAACUCAGCUCUGACUCUAGCCCCUGAGUGCGUCUAGAAGAGAACUCACCUCCUGGAAAUGUGAUGGCAGAGAGGGUCCCCAGUCUGGGAAGGGACGUGGAGGAACAGAGAUUUCCCUUUUGUUUGGAACAGUUUGUGCUGAAGGCACCAGACCCAUGCAUAAGCGACUUUGAUUUUGUGACACACCAGCCUCAUAUGUAUUCGCAUGCCAGAUGGAAUCUGAUGUCGUCUGUAGGAGAAAUCAUGUUGGUCUUUUCCCUUGACAUGUGUCUAGUACAUCCGACUCAAGGCCUGCAAAGCACACAGAGCGGUACCGUCCAAUACAACAUUCUGUGCGGAGGGAAUUGUUCUGUGUCCCGCCGUCCAGUACAGUGGCCACGAGAUGCAUGUAGCUCUGGAGAUGCAGGGGGCACUUGAAAUGGGGCUGGUGAGCUGGGCAGCUGCAUUUAUAAUUGUUUUAAAUGAAUAGGAAGUUAAGUAGCCCUAGGUGGCUCGGAGCUACUAUUCAGACAGUAUGUAUCUAGAACGCCCUUAGUUUUCAGGAUUCUCCUCAAGGAAGAUACUGUGUGACUCAUAGGUGUAUGUGUAUUAAAUUUAUCUUCACAUGGAA